rnacentral:misc_RNA from 1 species
GAUGAAGAACGCAGUGAAAUGCGAUAAGUAAUGUGAAUUGCAGAAUUCAGUGAAUCAUCGAAUCUUUGAACGCACAUUGCGCCCCUUGGUAUUCCGGGGGGCAUGCCUGUUCGAGCGUCAUUUCACCAAUCAAGCCUCGCUUGUUAUUGGACGCCCGCGGCUCCGCGCCGCGCGUCCCAAUGUCUCCGGCUGAGCAGUCCGUCUCGAAGCGUUGUGGCAACUCAAUCCGCUUGCGAGGUCGGGAGGCUUAUCGCCGCUAAACACAUUUUACCAGGUUGACCUCGGAUCAGGUAGGGAUACCCGCUGAACUUAAGCAUAUCAAUAAGCGGAGGA